rnacentral:rRNA from 1 species
GACAGAGGGUGCAAACGUUGUUCGGAAUUACUGGGCGUAAAGCGCGUGUAGGCGGCUAUGCAAGUCGGGUGUGAAAUCCCACGGCUCAACCGUGGAAGUGCACUCGAAACUACGUAGCUGGAGUUCUGGAGAGGAAGGUGGAAUGCUCGGUGUAGAGGUGAAAUUCGUAGAUAUCGAGUGGAACACCGGUGGCGAAGGCGGCUCACUGGCCCGGUACUGACGCUGAGGUGCGAAAGCGUGGGGAGCAAACAGG